ensembl:lncRNA
CAAAGACAUGAACAAAGACAUGAACAAUGAUGAACAACCAAUCGAUCAUGCGCAUACAACAUAUACAGGAGAUUUACAAUAUAUUACAGCAUGCGGCAAAAAAACUGCAGACAAUAUAAAACUAUACGAAGAUAUGAUAAUAUAUAGUAAAAAAAAGGGAGAAGAAAAAAAAGGAGAAGAAAAAAAAGGAGAAGAAAAAAAAGGAAAAGAAAAAAAAGGAGAAGAAAAAAAAGGAGCAGAACAAACCGACGGUUCAAAUGAUAUAGAUAACAUUUUAAAUAUUUUUUAUAAAAGUAAUAAAGAUGAAACGUCUGAACAUUUAAAAAAUGUUUUAAAAAAUUUAGACACAAUAAAAGAUAAAAAAAAAAUCGAUUUUGCAUUAAUAUAUAACAUUUUGAAUACAUAUAUUAGUACAAAACGGACAAAGAAUAUAUUAUUAAAUGGAUCUACUAAACAAAUGGAUGUAUCAAAUUUGGGUGAUAAUGAGAGUCGUACAUAUGAUUCAUCAUUAUCAGUAGCAACAACAGGAGUGGACAAAGAUAAACAUAAGACAUCUAUGAGGGAUAAUAUCAACAUGUCCGCUACCACUACUCCGAUCACCACUACUCCAAUCACCACUACUAACGAAAGUAGCUGUGAUUGUUUUUUAAAUUUUUGUACCCCGUGCAAACAUAAAACAAAUACCAUAUCUUAUAAAAAACUAAACUGGUAUACAUAUUGUAAACUUUUUAUAGAAUCAGAGAAUAUAAGAAAUCCAUUUGUUGUAUUGUAUCAAUUAAUAUUUAAAAGAUUUAGAUUAAAUUUAGACAAUACGAAUUUGAAUGAUAUAUUUUUACAAAUUCAAAUGCAUCAGUUACAAUUAGCAUAUCGUCAUUUAACUGAUAUUUAUUGUAAUAGUACAGAAGUGAAUUCCAAAAAAAUCGAAUGUACUUUUUUUUUUCAAUUUUUUUAUGAUAUUUUAAUAAGAAUAUUUAAUGAAUUAUAUUAUUUUGAUUCAAUGAAUAUGCCAAGAGAAACAUCCUUUUUAAAAUAUAAAACAAGAGGUAAAUAUCAUGUAAAAAAAAUAAUUAUACAAUUACUAGCUUCGAAAGAUUUUCAAUAUUCACAACUUGAAAAUGUUAUUCCAAAACAAUUUAAAUAUCAUCCUAGUUUAAAUGAACUUGUUAAUAAAUAUGGACAUAUUACUUAUAUGUCAAGAAGUAAUGUUAACUUAAUUAAAUUAAAUAAAACUGCAUGGAAUUUAUAUGAUGCAUUUUGGCCUUUAGCAAGAUACAAACACUUUCAAAUAGCCAAUGAAAAAUGUAUAAAAGAAGAAAAUGCAACUUAUAUAGGUAUUUCAAAAGAUGAGGAUACUGAAUAUAUGACAUUUUCUUUUUCAAAAUUACGUGAUUUGUUAUUAUAUACUAUUCAUAAUAGUUGCUUAGUUUCUAUUUUGUUAACGAUUUUUGUUUUACAUGAUGAAUUUCAAAAACAAAUUAAUUCAAAAAAGGGAAAGGGAAAAGGAACUAGUAAAACUAAUUCUGCUAAUAAGGUUAAACGUGGUUCUACUGAUGGUGGUGAAAUAGUUGAUCUUGCUAUAAAUGGUGGGAGUGGUGCAACUGGCAUAAAUGGCACAAUCAGUGUAAAUGGUACAACUGGUGUAAAUGGCACAACUAGUGUAAAUGGUACAACUGGUGUAAAUGGUACAACUGGUGUAAAUGGCACAACUGGCGCAACUGGUAUAAAUAGAAGUGAGAGACAACGCCAAAAUCAUAAUUACCGUAACGAACCACUCGAUGAAGAUGAUGAUUAUUAUGAUGGACCCCCCAGAGAAGGAUUUCAUGAUCUUACAGAUCCUGAAUAUGGUUACUCUGAAACAUCAAGUCACGAACAUGAAUAUCGAGACAUAUCACACCAGCAACGUCAACAUUUUGAAGGAGCACGUUACGAAGAAGAAUACUUGGAUGAACCACGUUCGAAUUAUGACUACUAUGAUGAACCUCUUCAAGAAGAUCAAUUUUUUAAUGGACCACGUCAAGAAGAUGAAUAUUUUGAUGAAGAACGUCAAGAAGACGAUACCACUACAAGAAUAAUCCAGGCAAAUUUAUUUGAAAAUAAUCCUUAUUCAAUUUUUACAAGUGUGUUCAAUUCGUUAGCAAAUCACAUAAACAACUCUUUCAGUCCUACUCGUCAAGAUAAUAAUA